rnacentral:rRNA from 1 species
ACUCUAAGCGGUGGAUCACUCGGCUCAUGGGUCGAUGAAGAACGCAGCAAACUGUGCGUCAUCGUGUGAACUGCAGGACACAUGAACAUCGACAUUUUGAACGCAUAUCGCAGUCCAUGCUGUUAUGUACUUUAAUUAAUUUUAUAGUGCUGCUUGGACUACAUAUGGUUGAGGGUUGUAAGACUAUGCUAAUUAAGUUGCUUAUAAAUUUUUAUAAGCAUAUGGUAUAUUAUUGGAUAAAUAUAAUAAUUUUUAUUCAUAAUAUUAAAAAAUAAAUGAAAAACAUUAUCUCACAUUUGAAUGUGAAAAACGAAGAGAAAUAUUUUCUUUUUCAAUCAAAUAAUACUGAGAAAUGUCUAGCAUAAAAAAUUGAAAUAUUUUUCAUCUAGAAUUGUCUCUUAUUAAUGAUUCGGAAAUAGAAAAAUCUUGGUUAUGUUAUUAUUCUUCGUUGGUUCGUUAAAAAUGGAUAAAUAAAAACUUUGCAUACAAGAAUUAAUAAAAAUGUUAUAACGAAUUUAAUUAAAUGUUUUAUCAUUAUAUAUAAAGAAUUUAUGGCAAGAUAAAGUUAUAUACAACCUCAACUCAUAUGGGACUACCCCCUGAAUUUAAGCAUAUUAAUUAGGGGAGGAAAAGAAACUAACAAGGAUUUUCUUAGUAGCGGCGAGCGAAAAGAAAACAGUUCAGCACUAAGUCACUUUGUCUAUAUGGCAAAUGUGAGAUGCAGUGUAUGGAGCGUCAAUAUUCUAGUAUGAGAAAUUAACGAUUUAAGUCCUUCUUAAAUGAGGCCAUUUACCCAUAGAGGGUGCCAGGCCCGUAUAACGUUAAUGAUUACUAGAUGAUGUUUCCAAAGAGUCGUGUUGCUUGAUAGUGCAGCACUAAGUGGGUGGUAAACUCCAUCUAAAACUAAAUAUAACCAUGAGACCGAUAGUAAACAAGUACCGUGAGGGAAAGUUGAAAAGAACUCUGAAUAGAGAGUUAAACAGUACGUGAAACUGCUUAGAGGUUAAGCCCGAUGAACCUGAAUAUCCGUUAUGGAAAAUUCAUCAUUAAAAUUGUAAUAUUUAAAUAAUAUUAUGAGAAUAGUGUGCAUUUUUUCCAUAUAAGGACAUUGUAAUCUAUUAGCAUAUACCAAAUUUAUCAUAAAAUAUAACUUAUAGUUUAUUCCAAUUAAAUUGCUUGCAUUUUAACACAGAAUAAAUGUUAUUAAUUUGAUAAAGUGCUGAUAGAUUUAUAUGAUUACAGUGCGUUAAUUUUUCGGAAUUAUAUAAUGGCAUAAUUAUCAUUGAUUUUUGUGUUUAUUAUAUGCACUUGUAUGAUUAACAAUGCGAAAGAUUCAGGAUACCUUCGGGACCCGUCUUGAAACACGGACCAAGGAGUCUAACAUAUGUGCAAGUUAUUGGGAUAUAAACCUAAUAGCGUAAUUAACUUGACUAAUAAUGGGAUUAGUUUUUUAGCUAUUUAUAGCUAAUUAACACAAUCCCGGGGCGUUCUAUAUAGUUAUGUAUAAUGUAUAUUUAUAUUAUUUAUGCCUCUAACUGGAACGUACCUUGAGCAUAUAUGCUGUGACCCGAAAGAUGGUGAACUAUACUUGAUCAGGUUGAAGUCAGGGGAAACCCUGAUGGAAGACCGAAACAGUUCUGACGUGCAAAUCGAUUGUCAGAAUUGAGUAUAGGGGCGAAAGACCAAUCGAACCAUCUAGUAGCUGGUUCCUUCCGAAGUUUCCCUCAGGAUAGCUGGUGCAUUUUAAUAUUAUAUAAAAUAAUCUUAUCUGGUAAAGCGAAUGAUUAGAGGCCUUAGGGUCGAAACGAUCUUAACCUAUUCUCAAACUUUAAAUGGGUAAGAACCUUAACUUUCUUGAUAUGAAGUUCAAGGUUAUGAUAUAAUGUGCCCAGUGGGCCACUUUUGGUAAGCAGAACUGGCGCUGUGGGAUGAACCAAACGUAAUGUUACGGUGCCCAAAUUAACAACUCAUGCAGAUACCAUGAAAGGCGUUGGUUGCUUAAAACAGCAGGACGGUGAUCAUGGAAGUCGAAAUCCGCUAAGGAGUGUGUAACAACUCACCUGCCGAAGCAACUAGCCCUUAAAAUGGAUGGCGCUUAAGUUGUAUACCUAUACAUUACCGCUAAAGUAGAUGAUUUAUAUUACUUGUGAUAUAAAUUUUGAAACUUUAGUGAGUAGGAAGGUACAAUGGUAUGCGUAGAAGUGUUUGGCGUAAGCCUGCAUGGAGCUGCCAUUGGUACAGAUCUUGGUGGUAGUAGCAAAUAAUCGAAUGAGACCUUGGAGGACUGAAGUGGAGAAGGGUUUCGUGUGAACAGUGGUUGAUCACGAGUUAGUCGGUCCUAAGUUCAAGGCGAAAGCCGAAAAUUUUCAAGUAAAACAAAAAUGCCUAACUAUAUAAACAAAGCGAAUUAUAAUACACUUGAAUAAUUUUGAACGAAAGGGAAUACGGUUCCAAUUCCGUAACCUGUUGAGUAUCCGUUUGUUAUUAAAUAUGGGCCUCGUGCUCAUCCUGGCAACAGGAACGACCAUAAAGAAGCCGUCGAGAGAUAUCGGAAGAGUUUUCUUUUCUGUUUUAUAGCCGUACUACCAUGGAAGUCUUUCGCAGAGAGAUAUGGUAGAUGGGCUAGAAGAGCAUGACAUAUACUGUUGUGUCGAUAUUUUCUCCUCGGACCUUGAAAAUUUAUGGUGGGGACACGCAAACUUCUCAACAGGCCGU